UGGUCAAGUUAUUAAGGGUGCAGGGCGGAUGCCUUGGCACUAGGAGCCGAUGAAGGACGUGAUAAGCUGCGAUAAGCUUCGGUGAGUUGCACGUACACUUUGAUC
rnacentral:rRNA from 1 species